UACGGAGGGUGCAAGCGUUAUCCGGAUUUACUGGGUUUAAAGGGUGCGUAGGCGGAUAGGUAAGUCCGUGGUGAAAUCCUGCAGCUUAACUGCAGAACUGCCAUGGAUACUAUUUAUCUUGAAUAUCGUGGAGGUUAGCGGAAUAAUGUCAUGUAGCGGUGAAAUGCUUAGAUAUGACAUAGAACACCCAUUGCGAAGGCAGCUAACUACGCGAUAAUUGACACUGAUGCACGAAAGCGUGGGGAUCAAACAGG
rnacentral:rRNA from 1 species